AUUGAACGCUGGCGGAAUGCUUUACACAUGCAAGUCGAGCGGCAGCGCGGUCUUCGGACUGGCGGCGAGCGGCGAACGGGUGAGUAAUACAUCGGAACAUGCCCAGUCGUGGGGGAUAACACUUCGAAAGAAGUGCUAAUACCGCAUACGUCCUGAGGGAGAAAGCGGGGGAUCGCAAGACCUCGCGCGAUUGGAGUGGCCGAUGUCAGAUUAGCUAGUUGGUGGGGUAAAGGCCUACGAAGGCAACGAUCUGUAGCUGGUCGGAGAGGAGGAUCAGCCAAACUGGGACUGAGACACGGCACAGACUCCUACGGGAGGCAGCAGUGGGGAAUUUUGGACAAUGGGGGCAACCCUGAUCCAGCCAUUCCGCGUGAGUGAAGAAGGCCUUCGGGUUGUAAAGCUCUUUCGGCAGGAACGAAACGGCGAGCUCUAACAUAGCUCGCUAAUGACGGUACCUGGAGAAGAAGCACCGGCUAACUACGUGCCAGCAGCCGCCGCCGUAA
rnacentral:rRNA from 1 species